CCUUGGUUACGUAGGGACAAACAAAUACACGACAACAACAAUAAAAAUCUUGAGUUUUAAAAUAUCGAUCAAGAUACGACUUAUGGAUAAUUUGCAGAUGGUUGGGCCAAAUCGGGAUCACUUUGCUGAACAACGUUCUCUUCGACAAAGUUCAUCUCCCUCCAAUAACGCUCCAAGCUUCUUUUGAAAGAAAUGCUAAAAAGAGUUUCGCCGGUCUCCUCAGUCAAAUACUGGAACCGUAGCAUAAAUUUCUACCGACUCGGAAUAAUUAGGUCUUAUAAAUUGGAGCGGUCGAUUUGUUCCAGCUUAUGCUAGAAUCCAUGUAGUGGUUGAUGAAUCGUGCCAUUCCCACGACGAAGCUCGCUACAAGAUGGAACACGGAGUGCCUGCCAAAUCGCUUUAGUUCUGCAUAUGACCAGUUUUCUACGACAGAUAUUCUUGAAUCGAGUUAAAAUGACCUGCAGUGGUGAACAACUGUAAAACUAUCCAAUCCACAUGGAUUAGACGUUGGCUAUGCUAUGCCUCUUUCAUCACCAUCUCGUGAUGACGCCUAAAUAGGGCUACCAAAUGUCCUUAUUUUGAAGGACAAGUCCUUAAUUCCGACAAUUUUGGGAAGCGUCCUUUUUUACUUCAAAUGUUCUUCAUUUUAGUUUCAAACCUAGACAUAUUCAAAAUAUUUUUGAAAUCAAGCUAAUUUCGAGAAGAUGAAGCUUUUCAACCA